GUUGGGGCGGUGAUGAUAAAUGUUAAUCCCAGCUCAUUAUGAGGCCUUAUUCUUUGUGAAAAGGCCAGGGAAUGAACUCCAUUUAACAUAUGGCUGAGCUUCAAC